rnacentral:lncRNA from 1 species
UGAAAAUUGAACAAGACGGACGAGGCCAGCAAAGAGGAGGAAGAGGACAGCACGUUCACCAGCAUUUCUCUAGCAGAUGAGCCAGUCAUUAAGGACAGAAGAUCUGAGUGGAAAGGAAGAUGAGACCGGAAAAGAACCCUCGAUUACUCAUGAGAAUAACAAGAGUGUUCCGGGAUUGCAAGGCUAAAAUCUGCUGUGCUCCUGGGCCAUCAGUUUGAGAAUAACUGUUCCUGUAAUGAGUAACCUGCGGCAGUGGGUCACAGUCAGGAGUGAGAUUUUGAGACCUCCCAUUAUCUAUGCUUACUGGGGAAAAAGAAUGUAAUAAAUAUUUUGAAACUCUCAAAAAAGUUCUAUUUUAAAAGGAAAUUU